UAAAUCCGAAAAAUUUAUUCUGAUUGACAUUUCAGCAUUAUGCGAGAUGAAAUACAUGUUAUGUUAUGUAGAUGAUGCAAAUGUCAUGAUGUUUGUAUUGAUUUAUUGAAUGAGGGACAAUAUUGGGAUUUGACACAUACACACGACAAGUCAAGGACCGAUUACAUUCAAGUGCCAAAAUACACUAUAAAUAAAGUCAGAAAUGGAAAUACAUGAAAAUCAAUGUUGGACCAAUAGUUGACCAAACUUUGACCUUUGACUUAAAAUCUACUCCUAGACCUAUCUCUUUUAAAUUCAACAUCUUCAUCAUGAUUCACUUCCAAUUUGCUUAUUUUCUUCAAUUUGCUUGGCAUGUGCAUACAAAUUGGCUAAACCCACAUAACAUACACCAAGCCAUCAUAAUUCCAUAAGCAAAAACAUUUCAAACAAUUCUAAUAAUAUAUUAAUGCACUCCAUAACCAAUCAAGCAUAAUUCAUAAUAGGCAUUCAAGCAUAAUUUUUAAUUUACCUAGUGUUAAAUCCACAACUUUGCUAACAAAAACUAACAUAUAUACACAACCAACAUCCAUUCAUACAUAUGAAAAUCAAACCACAUUUCCUAUUCUAAAACUACUAACCAAACUUCAAAUUCAUCACAACAUUGCAAAACCAUUCAAACAGUUAGAACUAGUUACCAUUCAUCUAUUCUUCACUAUAUGUUUUUCAAUCCAUUGAUACUAACUCUAAUCUCAUAUUCUAACUAAUCUCAUAACUUAAUCAUCCCCAAUUCUAACUAAACUAACAGCUUAACAAUGUUAGAACUAACAACUUACAUUCCUAACUUUAACUAACUUCGAUUUAACUUCGUUAACAUUUUCACCUCAAUUUGAUUAACCUUUAACAACUAUACAAAAUUUCAUGAAAUUACUAACAAUUCAUAACAUUUCCUAAUCCAUUCACUACCUAACAACAUCACUUAUAUUCACUAAUUCUAAUUCAAUUAACACCACACCACUAUCCAAAUUCCUCAACCUUACUCAUGCUUCGAUUCCUCUAAUAGUCCCCAAACUUAACAACUAAUAGUAAUUAACUUCUAACAACUAACAGUUUCUAACAGAAUUAUCAGAGUUAACUGGUUAUAACUAACCUUCCAUUAACAGUUAACAUUUGCCCUAACUUGUAACAAACCUGCCCUAAACUCUGACCAAAUUAGUUGCCAUUCUCCUAUAUAUAACUCUUCAUCCCCACAUUCAUUGAGAACCAAUCACAUUUACACAAAUCACUUAAAUCUUCAAACUCUCUCAAGCACUCUGAGAUUUCUCUCUGAAGCUCUCUCUCUGCAUUUUUCCUCUCUACUCCAUCACUCUCCUCACACGCACAAAACAACAACACAGAGCAACAAACACAAAACAAUCACAUCCUACAAGCUAGGGAUUUUCAAGAAGAAGAAGAUCUCCUUGAAAAAACAGGAAAAGUAAAGAUUCAAAGCAUACAUGCAUAUUCUCUGAUUUUUCUUACUCCAUCUAUAUCAUCUCCAAGCUUCAACAAACACCAAGGUAUCCUCCGCCUUGUAGGUUGGUGUGCUAUGUUUUAUUCCUCUAUUUGCUUUAAUUCAUUUGCCAUAAUGUAGCUUCGAUUAAGGAGAAUCAAAUCCCUCUGGUGGUUGGCUCAAAUUCCCCUUUGUUCUCGUUUAAUUUAUGAAUUUGUUUCUUAGGGUUCAUACUCUUUUCACUUUAUUUUGGAAUUUUGGUUAGGAGUUAGGAAGGUUUGAUAUGAGAUUAAGAAUGAGAUCAUUGAGACGAGUUGGUUGAUGUGUGUUUGAGGUUAUUUGGACCUCCGCUGUCACCGGAGGCGAUCUCUGACACAACGAGGCAAUUCUCUGAUGAGGGAACUAUUGAAAGUGAGAGAGAUCUGCACGAAGAGCAUUGAGACAAUAAAUGAAUCGUAUGACUUGUUGAACUCUCUCCACCUAUUGCUUUGGUUCGUUGGGCUUUACUUCAAACCAAGCCCAUUGGAUUCUAUUUCUAUCCACACCUUUUUUUAGCAUACCCCUUGCAGAGGGCAAACAAUAAGGCACUUUGGGCUUUUCUGUUAAGCCCAUCGCACAUUCUUCCAUGCCAUACCUCCCUAUGAGUCCAUACACCCCCUGCAGAUUGCUUUUUUCUCAUUUUUCUCAUUUUGUUUUUAUAAUUUCUUCUUGUCUUUUUUCUUUACAUUUUAAUACACCUUAUUAUUACACAUUUUUUUGAAUACAUAAAAAAUACAUUUUUCUACAUUUUAGGCUUUUCUUUGAAUACAUAAAAAUAUAUUUUAUUUUGUUAUUAA
rnacentral:lncRNA from 1 species